AACGCACAUUGCGCCCGCCAGUAUUCUGGCGGGCAUGCCUGUCCGAGCGUCAUUUCAACCCUCGAGCCCCAGCGGCCCGGUGUUGGGGAUCGGCCCCGCCCUCGCGGCGGUCCGGCCGUCCCCUAAAUAGAGUGGCGGUCACGCCGCAGCAUCCCCUGCGCAGUAGUAACAUCUCGCAGCCGGAGCGCGGCGCGGCCACGCCGUGAAACCCCAACUCUUCAAUGGUUGACCUCGGAUCAGGUAGGAAUACCCGCUGAACUUAA
rnacentral:misc_RNA from 1 species